rnacentral:rRNA from 1 species
AACGAACGCUGGCGGCAUGCUUAACACAUGCAAGUCGAACGAGACCUUCGGGUCUAGUGGCGCAUGGGUGCGUAACGCGUGGGAAUCUGCCCUUUGCUACGGAAUAACUCAGAGAAAUUUGUGCUAAUACCGUAUAAUGUCGUAAGACCAAAGAUUUAUCGGCAAAGGAUGAGCCCGCGUAAGAUUAGCUUGUUGGUGAGGUAAAGGCUCACCAAGGCGGCGAUCUUUAGCUGGUCUGAGAGGAGUGAUCAGCCACACUGGGACUGAGACACGGGCCCAGACUCCUACGGGAGGCAGCAGUGGGGAAUAUUGGACAAUGGGCGAAAGCCUGAUCCAGCAAUGCCGCGUGAGUGAUGAAGGCCUUA